rnacentral:piRNA from 1 species
UUCGGUAAAUAUUGUCAUUUU